UACGGAGGGGGCUAGCGUUGUUCGGAAUUACUGGGCGUAAAGCGCACGUAGGCGGCUUUGUAAGUUAGAGGUGAAAGCCCGGGGCUCAACCCCGGAAUAGCCUUUAAGACUGCAUCGCUUGAACGUCGGAGAGGUGAGUGGAAUUCCGAGUGUAGAGGUGAAAUUCGUAGAUAUUGGGAAGAACACCGGUGGCGAAGGCGGCUCACUGGCUCAUUUCUGACGCUCAGGCGCGACAGCGUGGGGAUCAAACAGG
rnacentral:rRNA from 1 species